GACGAACGCUGGCGGCGUGCCUAAUACAUGCAAGUUGAGCGCUGAAGGUUGGUACUUGUACCAACUGGAUGAGCAGCGAACGGGUGAGUAACGCGUGGGGAAUCUGCCUUUGAGCGGGGGACAACAUUUGGAAACGAAUGCUAAUACCGCAUAAAAACUUUAAACACAAGUUUUAAGUUUGAAAGAUGCAAUUGCAUCACUCAAAGAUGAUCCCGCGUUGUAUUAGCUAGUUGGUGGGGUAAAGGCUCACCAAGGCGAUGAUACAUAGCCGACCUGAGAGGGUGAUCGGCCACAUUGGGACUGAGACACGGCCCAAACUCCUACGGGAGGCAGCAGUAGGGAAUCUUCGGCAAUGGACGAAAGUCUGACCGAGCAACGCCGCGUGAGUGAAGAAGGUUUUCGGAUCGUAAAACUCGGUUGGUAGAGAAGAACGUUGGUGAGAGUGGAAAGCUCAUCAAGUGACGGUAACUACCCAGAAAGGGACGGCUAACUACGUG
rnacentral:rRNA from 1 species